rnacentral:lncRNA from 1 species
CAAUCCCCAGCACCUCAAAAACAAAAACAGAAAAAGUACAUUAAACCUUAUUCCCAAAUUCUGGGGAUCUGCCUUUUGUGCAGCUACGGUUCACAGAUGACAGUAUGUACUGUGCAUAGCACACGGGUAAUUUUAUGUGUGCACAUCUAAGCAGGUUUGUUUACGCCAGCAUGCCCACAAAUGUGAGUAGCUGGAUAACUCGGGCAUCUCUAGGAGACAGGGACUUUCCAGAUCUGUGGCAAUCUCAUGGACCAACAUCAUGUGUGGGGUGCACUGUUCACCAAAACAUGAUCAGGGGCGUCAUGGUUGUAUUGGGAGAUGAGUAAGGAAUUUUCCCCAAGUGAAGGAAGAACUGAAUGUGCAGACAGAAAGGACAGGAUGCUUUGAAUGGAGACCCUAUAGGGACCCACUGGAAAAGUCAAUCCAGAACAGUUGACACCAGAAAAACAAAACAAUCCCCCAAAUCCUGGUUAUUAUUGAAACUCAAGAACAAAAAAAUAAUUCCUCAGUGCUCAGGCAGGAAAAACAAAUUUCUUAUAAAAUAUUUUAAUUAAGAAAAAGUUCAGCAGCCCACAUUCGACAUCAGAAAACUGUGUAGCCACCUAAUGAUAAAUCAGGCCAAAUGAGACAUGGCCCUAGUUAAAGAAAAACUGGAAAAAAUACUGACGUAAGAGUUGAGUCUAGGGGCUGGGGUUGUGGCUCGGUGGAAAAGCACUUGCCUAGUAUGUGUGAGGCACUGGGUUUGAUUCUCAGCGCCACAUAGAAAUAAAUAAAAUAAAGGUCCAUCAAAAACUAAAAGUUAAGUCUAGUAAAUGGACAGGCAAGCGAACGGCCCUGGGAGUGGCAGAUGCAGAACAGUGUUUAGCAUUUUGUUUGGAAAUUAUUUCAAACUCGGUGAGAAGUUGUAAGAAUGGAGCGAGGCAUGCUCAUAUACUCCAAGGAUGGUUUUUAUGUAAACAUGGUGGAGCUGUUAAGGAAGUCUCACCUUGGUACCACUUCCAUAGGUGGCCUAGUGAAUCGGCCGUGUUCCUGGGGUCCCAGUCCUGGCCUUUUAUGGCACUUUUUAGUUUGUUUUUGGAUUCAGGGUUCUAUUAUGUUCAUUGAGUGUCUCUCUGGUGUCCUUCAUUCUGGAGUGCUUCCUCUGUCUAUUGACACUGACAUUUAAGAGAACAGGCCUGCUGGGCGCAAUAGUGCACCCCUAUAGUUCCAGCUGUUUGGGAGGCUGAGAC